GUGGGUAUGACGGAAUUGGUAGACGUACUAGAGUUAGGUUCUAGUGAACUUCUUGUUCGUGAGGGUUCGAGUCCCUCUAUCCGCA
rnacentral:tRNA from 1 species